rnacentral:rRNA from 1 species
AGUGAACGCUGGCGGUAGGCCUAACACAUGCAAGUCGAACGGCAGCACAGGAGAGCUUGCUCUCUGGGUGGCGAGUGGCGGACGGGUGAGGAAUACAUCGGAAUCUGCCCAGUCGUGGGGGAUAACGUAGGGAAACUUACGCUAAUACCGCAUACGACCUUCGGGUGAAAGAGGGGGAUCGCAAGACCUCUCGCGAUUGGAUGAGCCGAUGUCGGAUUAGCUAGUUGGCGGGGUAAUGGCCCACCAAGGCGACGAUCCGUAGCUGGUCUGAGAGGAUGAUCAGCCACACUGGAACUGAGACACGGUCCAGACUCCUACGGGAGGCAGCGGUGGGGAAUAUUGGACAAUGGGCGCAAGCCUGAUCCAGCCAUACCGGGUGGGUGAAGAAGGCCUUCGGGUUGUAAAGCCCUUUUGUUGGGAAAGAAAUCUUUCAGGCUAAUACCCUGGGAGGAUGACGGUACCCAAAGAAUAAGCACCGGCUAACUUCGUG